GUGAAUGGAAGACUGUAGAGAACUUCCAAGCUUUGAUUCUGUUAUGGGUGGAAGAUUGGAUGUUCAUUUCUUGAUUGAAAUUCUUGGACGUGGCAUAGAUGUCUCACAAAUUUGAACUCUGAAAUGUAAUAGAAAGGAGAAAAAAAGAUUGAAUC